GACUGGCUCAGGCUCUCUGCAGACUCCGGCAGCGUCUCCCCGCCGGUGACCCCCAGGGCGGUUCACACCUCUCCGAGCGACCGGCUCAGGCUCCCUGCAGACUCCGGCAGCGUCUCCCCGCCGGUGACCCCCAGGGCGGUUCACACCUCUCCGAGCGACCGGCUCAGGCUCUCUGCAGACUCCGGCAGCGUCUCCCCGCCGGUGACCCCCAGGGCGGUUCACACCUCUCCGAGCGAACGGCUCAGGCUCUCUGCAGACUCCGGCAGCGUCUCCGCACCGGUGACCCCCAGGGCGGUUCACACCUCUCCGACCGACCGGCUCAGGCUCCCUGCAGACUCCGGCAGCGUCUCCACGCGGCUUCGGGCCGGGGCCCCAGGACCCGACAUGGCUGGAGCUCGCUUUAUGGCCUAGGUCCCUAGCUCGUUAUCAGCUUCGUUUGAUGCCGGCAGCCAGGGCUGCUAUGACAACAGAAUCAAAACACCCGGGGCAGAAGGGCAUUAACGUUCGUGACAUCCCUGGGGCUGGCUUUCCGGACGCCUGGGUUCCAUGACUCAGCUUGACCCCUGUAGGAUCUCCUCUCCCCUGCCCCCGUGCCUCAGUUUCCCUUCCUGCCCUUGGUCUAUGGCAUGGCUGCGGAGCAGGGGCCGGUGGCACGUCGGGGUCCCGAUCUACCUGGCUGGAAAGGGGACUAUGGCUGCUGGCCGUCAGGGCAGUAGAAGUAACGAAGACCACAAGCCAGGAGGUCCAGUGGCAGGGAGUCCCGCAGGCCCCAGGGGAGUCGGGGGAGAGUCCUGCUUCCAUUCACCUGGGGAACCCUGCCAGCCGCCCUGAACUCUGCACAUCCUGUCAGCCGCACGCAUCUGGCUGCCGCCCCAGAGCGGGCAAAUUCCCCUUCAUUAAAAAUUAACACCAACGGCUGAAUCAUUCGGGGAGAGAACCCAGUAGUCCUGAUCACUAGCCCCCACUCCCCUCCCAGAGCCCAGGAGAGAACCCAGGAGUCCUGGCUCCCAGCUCCCCCCUGCUCUAACCACUAGCCCCUACUCCCCUCCCAGAGCCAGGGAGAGAACCCAGGAGUCCUGGCUCCGAGCCCCCCCUCCUCUAACCCACCAGCCCCCACUCCCCUCCCCGAGCUGGGGAGAGAACCCAGGAGUCCUGGGACACGACUCGAGGGUGGAUUCGUCCCGCGACCCUCCAGCUGGAGUCGGCGAGCUGGUACAGUGCGAUUUUGAUGACAACGGACACCCCUUCUGCCGCUGGACCCGGCCCGAUGCCGGAGACUGGAUGAGAACCCAGGGCCUGGCUCCAGGGGAGAGCCCCGGGCCCCGGGAGGGACCCCCGAGAGAGGCUGGGGGGUCUGCGUGGCGGCGGGGGACCCUCACGACACCACCUUCGAUGGGCGGCUCUUCCACUUCAUGGGCACCUGCAGCUACACCCUGACCCAGACGUGCAACGCCAGCACCGGGCUCCCCGGCUUCUCCGUCGAGGCCACCAACGAGCACCGGGGGGCCAGCACCCGGGUCUCCUAUGUCCGCGCUGCGGCUGUGGAGGUGUUCGGCCACCGGGUGGCGCUGCUCAAGGGGCGCUGAGUGACGGGAACUACAACGGACAGAGCGCUGACGAGAAUCUCACGCCCAACGGCACCUCGGCCAGCAGCCCCGGGCCAGGGGGACCCCGCGAACUGCGGCACUAAGGAUCAAAUCACCCGGUUCUGAGGCCUGCCCCUGUCCCGUGACGCCUCAGCCCGAUACCCCCGUGAUGAGGGGCCGGCGCGGGGCUGGCGGCACCCGAGAUCUGCAGCCCCCAUGGCCACUCAUUUCCCCCCAGGGGCGAGGGGCCCCUCCUGAGGCCAGACGCCUGGGUUCUUGCAGAGCCGAUCCACAAAAUUGUUUUUCAUUGUUCACUUUAUUCAUAAAACUUCCCAAGUAAAGUUAUGAAUGAAACUGCAUUCAUUCAUAAAACCGGGUACCCCGAGAUCUGGCUAAAUGAGUUUCACUGGCAAUCCGAUUGCUGCUUAAAUCGCUGACCCGGGCACUGUUUCACCAUUGCAACGUCUAGUCCCCGGUUGCCGAUCCACGAAAUUGUUUUUCAUUGUUCACUUUAUUCAUAAAACUUCCUAAGUAAAGUUUAUGAAUGAAACCGCAUUCAUUCAUAAAACGGGGUACGCCCGGGUACUGGGUAAUUGAGUUUCACUGGCAAUUUGCUGCUUAAAUCGAGGACCCGGGCACUGUUUCACCAUUGCAAUGUCUGGUCCCCGGGUGCCGGUCCCCGCCCUUCUCCGCGGGGCAGCUCAAACCCCAUUUUAACAGGCUCACCCCGCUUUGCAAGCCCUGCGGUAACCGGCGUCGGGUGGGUGAGGGGUGUGAACGAGGCCCCGUCUGGAGGACGGCAUCACCCGCCAGCCCCAGCCCGGCCGGAUGAAAUCAAGUCCACCCCGGAAAGCACAAAAGUGCAAUUGAAGCCCCCUCAAGGCUGGGUCCCCGGCUGGAAGCCAGGUCCGCCCUGGAGGGGGGAUCAGUCCCGCCGAACCCAUGACACAGCAAAGACCCAGCGCUGACAGG